rnacentral:rRNA from 1 species
AUUGAACGCUGGCGGCAGGCCUAACACAUGCAAGUCGAACGAGUGGCGGACGGGUGAGUAAUGUCUGGGAAACUGCCUGAUGGAGGGGGAUAACUACUGGAAACGGUAGCUAAUACCGCAUACCAUCAGAUGUGCCCAGAUGGGAUUAGCUUGUUGGUGGGGUAACGGCUCACCAAGGCGACGAUCCCUAGCUGGUCUGAGAGGAUGACCAGCGAAACGGGAACUGAGCGAGGGGCCAGACUCCGCAGGGAGGGAGCAGUGGGGAAGAUUGAAGAAGGGGCGCAAGCCUGAUGCAGCCAUGCCGGGUGUAUGAAGAAGGCCUUCGGGUUGUAAAGUACUUUCAGCGGGGAGGCGUUACCCGCAGAAGAAGCACCGGCUAACUCCGUGCCAGCAGCCGCGGUAAUA